rnacentral:rRNA from 1 species
UACGUAGGGUGCAAGCGUUGUCCGGAAUUAUUGGGCGUAAAGAGCUCGUAGGCGGUUUGUCGCGUCUGCUGUGAAAACCCGAGGCUCAACCUCGGGCCUGCAGUGGGUACGGCAGACUAGAGUGCGGUAGGGGAGAUUGGAAUUCCUGGUGUAGCGGUGGAAUGCGCAGAUAUCAGGAAGAACACCCGUGGCUAAGGCGGCUCUCUAGUACGGUACUGACGCUGAGACGCGAAAGCGUGGGGAGCGAACAGG